AGUGCCUGGCGUCCCCAGGGGCACACAGCCCGGGUCUUCUCAAGUCAUGUUCGAUAUCUAGUAAAGGCGUACACUUAUCUCCAGCUUUCCCCGGGACCUUCCCUUUUGAUUUUCAAGAACAUUUUCUUCCCUCUGCCAGAGCAGUCCUUUCGAAUCAAAGGCUCGGCUUUUUUAAAGCGUGGUUUCUGAUGUGGGCUUCAGUGGACUGGCUGCGAAGUUCCUGAAACAAUGAGAGGGAACGCUGCCUGUCUCUCUCUUUAUCUUCGCGCAGUAAAGCUCCAAUUCUCCUUGAGGUGACCCUACUUUGUGUGAAGUUGACAAAAUUAACCAGCACACCGUCUGUAAUGCUCCAGCAGGAUGGAGAUGGGAGGAGAAUCCUUGGAAGCUCAAAGGUAAGUAGCUGUUGUGCACAGCCCCUUAGCAACAAACAGGGAAACAAGUCAGGGGGAUUGUGGAAUGGGAGUCAGUGCUUAGCAGGCACAAAGUUUCCAUUUGCUUCUAGAGACGAUGGUGCCAAUGGCUAUAAGGCAUCUUGAAUGUGCUGAGUGCCACCAAACAGCACAAUUAAAACAGUUAAGAUGGUGAAUGUUGUGUGUGUUUUCCUAUAACCGAAUACUGUAUUUUUUCCAGUAUGUUUUAUUCUUGUGUAAUCAGCUUUGUGGGUUUUUUUUUCCUCUUUCAGAUUAACUUGAGAAUCAGCUUGUCACAUUCUAUUAAAAGUCCCUUUGAUAUUUUUACUGCAGUUACAUCAAGUUUAUGGAUUGCCUUGGGGAGAAGUGACAUUUUUAUGGCCCUGAACCUUCCCCCAGGUGGAGACCUCCUCAUUGACUGGGAUCUCUCUUUAUGUCUUUCAGUAAAGUUGUAUAAUUC